CAAGGAAUUUUCCGCAAUGGGCGCAAGCCUGACGGAGCAACGCCGCGUGCAGGACGACGGCCUUCGGGUUGUAAACCUCUUUUCUCAAGGAAGAAGAUCUGACGGUACUUGAGGAAUCAGCAUCGGCUAACUCCGUGCCAGCAGCCGCGGUAAUACGGAGGAUGCAAGCGUUAUCCGGAAUGAUUGGGCGUAAAGCGUCUGCAGGUGGCUAUGCAAGUCUGCUGUUAAAGAGUGGAGCUCAACUCCAUAAGGGCAGUGGAAACUGCGUAACUAGAGUACGUUCGGGGUAGAGGGUAUUCCUGGUGUAGCGGUGAAAUGCGUAGAUAUCAGGAAGAACACCGGUGGCGAAAGCGCUCUACUAGGCCGUAACUGACACUGAGAGACGAAAGCUAAGGGAGCGAAUGGGAUUAGAUACCCGGGUAGUCC
rnacentral:rRNA from 1 species